rnacentral:rRNA from 1 species
CCUACGGGUGGCAGCAGUGAGGAAUAUUGGUCAAUGGGCGCAAGCCUGAACCAGCCAAGUCGCGUGAAGGAUGAAUGUCCUACGGGUUGUAAACUUCUUUUAUAAAGGAAUAAAGUGAGGCACGUGUGCCUUUUUGUAUGUACUUUAUGAAUAAGGAUCGGCUAACUCCGUGCCAGCAGCCGCGGUAAUACGGAGGAUCCGAGCGUUAUCCGGAUUUAUUGGGUUUAAAGGGAGCGUAGGUGGGUUGUUAAGUCAGUUGUGAAAGUUUGCGGCUCAACCGUAAAAUUGCCAUUGAUACUGGCAGCCUUGAGUACAGUUGAGGUAGGCGGAAUUCGUGGUGUAGCGGUGAAAUGCUUAGAUAUCACGAAGAACUCCGAUUGCGAAGGCAGCCUACUAAGCUGUAACUGACACUGAUGCUCGAAAGUGUGGGUAUCAAACAGGAUUAGAUACCCCAGUAGUC